rnacentral:rRNA from 1 species
GACGAACGCUGGCGGCGUGCUUAACACAUGCAAGUCGAACGGAAAGACCCUGCUUUUGUGGGGUGCUCGAGCGGCGAACGGGUGAGUAACACGUGAGUAACCUGCCCUUGACUUUGGGAUAACUUCAGGAAACUGGGGCUAAUACCGGAUAGGAGCUCCUGCUGCAUGGUGGGGGUUGGAAAGUUUCGGCGGUUGGGGAUGGACUCGCGGCUUAUCAGCUUGUUGGUGGGUAGUGGCUUACCAAGGCUUUGACGGGUAGCCGGCCUGAGAGGGUGACCGGCCACAUUGGGACUGAGAUACGGCCCAGACUCCUACGGGAGGCAGCAGUGGGGAAUAUUGCACAAUGGGCGGAAGCCUGAUGCAGCAACGCCGCGUGCGGGAUGACGGCCUUCGGGUUGUAAACCGCUUUCGCCUGUGACGAAGCGUGAGUGACGGUAAUGGGUAAAGAAGCACCGGCUAACUACGUG